ensembl:lncRNA
AGGCAGGGCCAACACAGGGGAACUCAGGUGUAUGCAAUGUACUGAGUGACCAGAAAUGGUGGAGCCAGGAUCCACCCUUUUCCAGAUCUCAUUUAAGUGUUGGUAGUGGUGGCAAAGGGAUCUUGCUGGAGAUCCCUGCGUACCAGAGGCCUUCAGAAGGUAGGACUCAGUCUGCCUCUUUCCUUGUUUGGACGUGACAGUGAUGGACCAGAUUUUACUGGGAGCAUGAACCUGACCUUCAGCUUGUGCCAAAGGUGCAACAGAAGAAUGCCUUUCAGCAACAUGGGCAAAGACUCAUAGCUCCCUGGUCCCCAGCUUGUCUCAGCUAUGGGAGGAAGAAGCCACUUGAUUUGAAUACUGAAGAGUUAAGAGCCAGACCAGAUGGCAAGGGAAAAAGACACAGGAGUGACAGGAAGCAGCUUCAAGUCUGUGGCUGGUGGGGAGGAAGAGAAAAUGUGCCUUUCUUUUUUAUUAUUUUAACUCUCAUGUAUCUGAAAAAUGUCUCAGUGUGUCCUCCGAGAGACUGGGGUGUUUCCCACUUGUCUGCGAAAAAUAUGCCGUGGAGAUGAUGUAGCAAAAUACGUGCAUAGUGUGGUAAAAUAUAUUUUAAAGUCCAGGGAAACAGUCAUCUCAAACUAAUGAUCAUCCUGAAUUGGCCACUCACUUCUGGUACUGACUAAGCAAUAGACUUAAAUCUCAUUUAAAAAUAAGCAUAUGAAUACCAGAACAAGGAUUUUGUGAUACCCUCAGAAAAUUCUGUGAAGACUACAAAAUUCUGACUGUCUUGAAUGUUAUGAACAAAUUUGAUUUUGUUUGUGUUGUCUGCUUUAAGUUCAGUCCUUUUUUGAGGUAAGUGAGGCUUAAGAUUCAUCUAAGAGUGAGACCUCCCUCACCAGUGUAUUUAAGGAUGCAAUGGGCUGGGACACUGCCUUGUCAGAACAAGUUCUCGCUUUCUCUAGUGCAUCCUUCUAGCCUGUCCAAAGGGAAAGAGGUGUACCCACGUUAGGCAUGCAAGUGGGUAACUGGUGGCCUGGGGUAUCUGGAAUUCUCAUUGGCAUGUAGCUCUGCACUGGGUCAGCAAAGGUGACAGGGCCUUUCCUAUUGCUGCUGGCCCAUGUGGGCUGGACAGGCAUAAUUGCUUAACUUUGAAGUUCUUGACUUAACAAUGCCAAUAUUUCUUUAAUUCCUUCACAUCAUAUUGUUUGCCAUUUAAAAAAAAAAAAAAAGAGUAAGUACACUCUCUUGCUGUUCUCACAGUCUUUUUCUUCCUAUUCUCCUCUGUGAGGUAGCUUCAUAGUCUUAUUCUCUCAAUAAGUUUAGUCUGUCUCUGAAAGCGUAAGUAAGACACAAAGGAGAUUUAGGUGCCUAAGUUCCUCCUUGCACAAUGGAGGAGUCUAUGGCAGAUGGUGAUGGGUGAAGUGCUGUGCUAAUGCCCCACUACAACCUACGAGGUACACCAAUCUGCUAAUUAAAUAAAAUACCAUGAGUU